rnacentral:rRNA from 1 species
UUAAAAAGCUCGUAGUUGGAUUUCGGAGUGGGCCAGUUGGUCCGCCGCAAGGUGUGUUACUGACUGGUUUGCUCUUCUUCGCAAAGACUGCGUGUGCUCUUGAGUGAGUGUGCGUAGGAUUUACGACGUUUACUUUGAAAAAAUUAGAGUGUUCAAAGCAGGCUAUUGCUUGAAUACAUGAGCAUGGAAUAAUGGAAUAGGACUUUGGUCCCAUUUUGUUGGUUUCUAGGGCCGAAGUAAUGAUUAAGAGGGACAAUUGGGGGCAUCCGUAUUUCGUUGUCAGAGGUGAAAUUCUUGGAUUUACGAAAGACGAACAACUGCGAAAGCACUUGCCAAGAGUGUUUUCAUUAAUCAAGAACGAAAGUUAGAGGAUCGAAGACGAUCAGAUACCGUCCUAGUUCUAACCAUAAACGAUGUCGACUAGGGAUCAGCGGGCGUUAUCGUACGACCCCGUUGGCACCUUACGGGAAACCAAAGUUUCUGGAUUCCGGGGGAAGUAUGGUUGCAAAGCUGAAACUUAAAGGAAUUGACGGAAGGGCACCACCAGGAGUGGAGCCUGUGGCUCAAUUUGACUCACACGGGA